rnacentral:rRNA from 1 species
GGUUAACUGGAGAAUAAAGUUUUAUUUUAGUAAAAUUAUAAUUUCGAUUAUAAUAACGGCUAUUUAAAUGAUCCAUGAAACGAUAAGUUUAUUUUUUCAAAAAUUAAUUUAAUCGUACCGAUAACCGCAUCAGGUCUCCAAGGUGAGUAGCUUCUGGCCAUUGAGUAAUGGUAAUUUAGGGAAUUCGGCCAAUUAGAGCUGUAACUUCGGGAUAAAGCUUGGCUCUGAUGGAAAUCAGAACCGAUAGUUACAAGGAGAGCCCAACUGUUUAAUAAAAACUUAGUGUCGCGUCAUACCUUUAUAAGUAAUAAACGUGACAUGAAUCCUGCUCAGUGCUGUGUUUGUUAAACUGGAUUAAUCCAUUUAAGCGCCGGUAAAUAGCUGGGGUAACUAUGACUCUUAUCAAAGUAGCGAAAUACCUCGUCACUUAAUUAGUGACCUGCAUGAACGGAGCUAUGAGGUUCUCACUGUCCCAAAUUAUCACUCAGCGAACCAACAGUUGUGGGAACGGGCACAAAUUAUCCAGCGGGGAAAGAAGACCCUGUAGAGCUUCACUUUGGUCUAAUCUUGUAUAGUUUCGUUAGGGGUGCAGUCUAGGUGGGAGAUUUUUAAUCAAAUAUGAGAAACCACUACCCUUUCUGGAAUUAUACUUACUAAAAUUCUUUUCUAAAUUUUAGGAUCGGAUUAGAUAGAAAGUUUGGCUGGGGCGGCACACCUUCGAAAAAGCAGCGAAGGUGUCCUAAGUUAAGCUCAGUAAGGACAGAAAUCUUACGUUGAGGAUAAGGCCAAAAGCUUAAUUUACUGUGCCUUUUUGUACUAGGAUCAGUUUGGAAACAAAGGCCUAACGAUCCCUAAUUAGUCUUAGGUGUGUAAGACUUGGGGUGACAGACAAGUUACCUCCGGGACAACUGGCUUGUGGCUGCUAAGAGAUCAAAUCAACGCAGCUUUUUGAUUCUUCGAUGUCGGCUCUUCCUAUCCUAGUGAUGUACAAGUCACUAAGGGUUGGAUUGUUCACCCGUAUUAGGGAUCGUGAGCUGGGUUUAGACCGUCGUGAGCCAGGUUUGUUUUAUCCUACUGGAUAUAAUUUAGCAUCUUGAUAGUAGUUUGAUUUAGUACGAGAGGAACUGUUGAAUAUGGUCUCUGGUUUGGGAAUUUUAUGAAAAUAAAAGUUCCAAAGCUACGCCGUCUGAGAUAAUGGCUGAAGGCCUCUUAAGCCAGAAACUCAUCUAAAAAUAGAUGCUUUAAACUAUUUAAAAGAAUUAAAUUUAAAAUAUUUUUUUUAUUAAAAUUUGU